CAACGUGUAAACAUGGAGCAGCCUGGCACAGAGUGGUUAUAGCACGGCUGUCCAGGCUAUUCUUAGAUUGCGCUUCUUACAGGAAUUAUUGUGGAUUGUCAUUAAAAUGUAAACAUGAGAUGUAAAUAUUUCCAGAGAGUUCACACAAUCCCAAAGAUCCAGUUCUUUUUCUAUGUAGAAAUGUUUCUCCCAUAGGCUUAUAGAAAGGUGAGCUAUAAGAAAUUGUGGCUAACAAUUUAGGGGAAAACUGGCAUGGGAGGUAUAGAAAGGUCCUUGGCCUGGAAGCCAGUCAUAUUUGGGCUGCAAAUAUGAAUGUCAAUGGGGGUCAGACAGGUGACAGAAAUGGGGCAGGCGGGGGGGGCUAUACGGUUGAGUGAGGAGUACGGCAAACUGAAGAAAACACAGCCCAUGGAAAAGCAGCAGGGAACACUCCAUUCCCACCUCCUGUCACCUUUUAGGAAUAUGUGCUCAGUGCUGCUGGAUUUUUUAAGUUUUCAGAAAUAACUAAAAAUAGAAUUUUUGAAUGUAAAAAAUUUACAUGCCAGUUUUCUCCCACAGGCUUAUAGAAAGGUGAGGUAUAAGAAAUUGUGGCUAUUCUUCAGAUGAGUGUUUGAACAGCCCAAAACAAGCUGGCAUUUGCCACUCCCCACCCCUGCUACCCAUGUUUCUCUGUCAGCUGCCACUGUUUGCACAGGAAUUUAGUCCCAUGUGACUUCACCGUCCCUAUUUUGAGAUGGAGGUGGAUGAGAACUGUUAGCCACAGUCAUUUCAAGGGAGCUACUAAGCUGUGUCUCCUAGAGUUUGGAGACUGUGAUCCAUUUUCAAGUGAACUUUUAGCUUGAAUAUUCCUGCCCACUCCCUUCACUGCUGUGGACAGGGGAAGAAGAAAUGCCAGAGGUAGAAAUUGACAUUGAUGAUCUUCUUGAUGCAGACAGUGAUGAAGAGAGAGCUUCAAAGUUACAGUUAUGGGAGGAAGAUUUGAGCCAACACAGAAGCGAGAAAAGAACGACAGGGUGUACAGGUACGGUGACUGGUCAUAUGAGGGCUUCUUCUCCCUCGGUCAUUUCCAGGAUCUCAGGCCUGAAGCCUACUUUCCACAGGAACUGGAUGCAAGGUACUACAAUUCCUUUAUCAGGAGGAGAGGCUCUUGCUCCAAGACUGUCAUAUAGCGUAUGCCCUUUCAGGCAGGGACGCCACCGCCUGGGUCAUUGGUUCUUGUCCUGGUCUGGCUGUUUUCCCAUGUACUGCUUCUGCUCUGUGACUGCUCUAGGCAUUCCUCCUACUAUAAAUUACUAUAUGGUUAUAUGGAAGGAUUAUACAAAUCAGCAUUAA
rnacentral:lncRNA from 1 species